AACAUGAUGUCUUAUAGAACACAACACAGUGUAACCUGGAAUUCUUGUUCACUCUUACUUUAGCCUAGUAUGUGAAGAAGAUACUGAAUUUGGAGGAGGAGAGAAGAAAAAGACCAACCCUGCCUUUCCCAGUUCCAGAUGACAUAAUGAAUGUCUUGAAGGAGCUGGAUGCGGUGAAAGACUCAACACAUAUCCUGGACAGCACUCUGAGUAUUAUGGCACUGUGAAGAGCUCUGGGGGAGUGGGGGGAGGACAGGAACUCCUCACGGUCUAACACUGGUAUGUCCUGAGGACCAAUGGAUGGAGAAAGGAGAAGAAGAAAAGAAGACGUGAAGUCUGUUUCUGGUGUCACAAUAACUGUUCAUAUUUCUGUUUUUGUGAUUGCCCGUUUGUCUGUUUUUAUUGUCACUUGCAAGGGCAUCCUGAUCUGUGGCUGGUGGUUCUAGGCAUCUACCAUUUAUGAGCCCAUCUCUAGGGAAGGCUAGCGGGACAACUGAACUGAAGGUGCAGCUGUCUCAGUGGUUCGGGACACUGUAGUAGACUUUAGAGAUUGGUCACAGGGCUGACGGUCUGCAUGGGAAUGCAGAGGCCUUUUCCAGGCAGGUCAACAUGUGAAGUGGGGCAGUGCUGUCGGCACAGCAUGGAAAAGAACACAGCUACUCCGGAGGUACUAGUUACCGCAGGCGCAGACAGACUUCUCUGUAGACCAGCGAUGCAUCCAGCAGCCAGCAAGCAAGGACAGUCACCAACCCCACUCUUUUCAUCCAGACCUGCAAACAGCACUCCUCAGCUAGUGAGAACAGGCAGCCCUGGCUGUUCAUCCAGAGCAGUAGGAAGAGUUUGGCGUCUUCAGCCACCAGUCCCUUGAUCAUGAGGAGCUGGGGAGCAAGGUCCUGUCCUCACCCAGCCCAGGUGGGCUCAAUCCUGAGUUAUGCGCAGACGUAUAGGUCUCAGACCUUGAGACGAAGGCACUCCCAUUCACAGUGGCGUGAUUUCACAGCCCAGAUAGGCUAUCUGAUGGCCUACAUUAGGACUUAGAGCUGGUCCAUGGCUCGGUGGGGCUGGACCACUUCGGCAUUGCAGUGAUCCUGCACCAUGUUUAAGCCCACCUGGUGGCCAUGAUGAGUGAGACUCCGGCCCCUCUAAGGCCCAAUUCACACCAAAGAUUCUCGAUGCAACGAGACCGAGUUGCAGCGGUGUGAAUUAAAUGUUGCACGUAGUUGCAGGCCAUCACAAGCCGUCGCAAAGCAUUCAACAUGUUUAGUCGCAGUUGCAAGGUUUUAGAACGUUGUGGCUUGUCUUGUUGCGAAUCUUUGGUCUGAAUCCUAAGGUCACACAGCAUAUUCCCAGGCCCCACAAACUCAGGGCCAUACUGUACAUGAUAGAAGGCUGAAAAAGGCUACACACAAUCUUUAAAUUUGGUGUCUGCAGGUUUUAACACCUUUAAAUUAAGACUUAUGAUUGUUUUUACGUGCAUUGUUAUUGGAAUGUAAGAUUUUCCAUGCCCAUAAUGCCUGAACAGAAGGAUAUGAAGUAGAAAGACCAGAAACCAAGAUUUCAAGCAUAAGUAAACACAUUACAGUGACAAAUAGUUAGGCCUAUGAGAUCUUGUUUAUAGCACCUGUAUAGGCUAGAAAGCCCUGAAAUAAUCAACUCCUACAAUUCAUGCCAGCUCAACAAUAAAACAUACAAAAAAACUAAAUAAAACAAACAUUUUAGCUUCUAAAUGACCUCUGUAGAAACAGUGUUACAUGAGUAGGCUAGGCUAUUACCCCAAUAUAUGUACAAACUAGACCUAGAGCAUUAUUUUAAGGCCAGAAAUUCACAUAAUGACAUUUUUUUUACUCUCCACGGACACUCUGCACAUCAUUCGAGACACCGGGAUAAUACUCUGCUACUGCGGGGGCACACUGUGUUCCCACCCAGUUGUUAGGUGCUCCAACUGUUACUCUGUUGCAGAUGCACAUGGUCGGUCGGUCGGUCGGUCUACCGACCUUAUAUAACAGCUGCUCUUGCGAGCUACGGCUAUACCGACGCUUUGCAGUUUUUCGAUGUAUAGUCUAUUGUCACACGAACGCUUGUAAUCGUAUCUAUAAUAUGGUUGGCACAUCGUCUAGUGACCAACUCUCUAAAAUGGUUGGUUAUUUUUCAACUCACUAAAAUUGUUAGUUAUUUUUGCAACUGCGAUUUAAAGACAAAGAAUGAUCAGGAAGAGUACUUACAUCUCAUCAGUCACUGCGUGUCGAGGCAGCAGAGACUGUGGUGAAAAUGCAGCAUCCUUUUGUGCAUAGGAAGUUACUCCGCCUAUUGCAUAACAUGAGAGAGUAGAGUUAUGCAAGGGCAGCCUAAGGAAAAAUGUGUGCUUACGAAAUAUUCAGCGGGCUGUAAUGACCUUGUCAGCAGAUUACUCUGCAUAAACGCCAUGCUGCUUAACCUCAAGAACAAGGAAAUGGGCUAAGAUGAACGAACUUGUGACACAUUGUAGCGUGCAGCGAUAUGCAACAAUGAAGAAAGAUAUAUAAGCCCAUGGUGGUGAAGUACCUUAAAAUAAAGUACUUUAUAUAUUUACAAACUGGCCAAAAUGAGCUCUUGUCGCAGAUUAGUGAACAGUGGUUGAUAUGAUUUUUCAUAAAUGGAAAUGUCCCAAAAUAUAUUUCAGCGGGCAACUACUACCAUCUAGUGGUUAAAUAAAAGCAGUUCAGUUUUGAAACUACAGUACAUCAAAUCAAAUCAGGCUUAUUGGCCAUGUAUACUUGCGUAUAGGAAUUUGGUCUCUGCAUUUAUCCCAUCUGUGAGUUAGUGGACACACACAACACACAGUGAACACACAGUGAGGUGAAGCACACACUAACCCGGAGCAGUGAGCUGCCUUUAUAAGCGGCGCUCAGGGAGCAUUGAGGGGUUAGGUCAGGUGCCUUGCUCAAGGGCACAUCAGCCGUGGUCUGGUAGGGGAUCGAACCGGCAACCCUUCGGUUACAAGCUCGAAGCCCUCACCACGGCUGCAUGCAAGUGGGCAGCCUGGUAGAGUGGUAUAGCCUACAAGCCAAACGGAGUAUUAGGGCCACACAUGUAGCGUGGAUAAAAACAGAAUGCAAUGAUUGCAAAAUCGCACAAAUACAGCUUUUGUUGAAACAGAUACGUUGAUGUUAUGGAAAAUAUGUUCUUUUUGAAUUUUGUGCCAUUUUGCUGGAGUUUUGAGAAUGACAUGUAGGAUAAGAUUUCAACUGCUCAGCAGUCUGGGGUCUUCCGAAUCAUGUUUCUCAUUCCAUGAAGUGACACAUCCAAUGUGACAAGUCUGGCCUGCAGACAGGCCAUUUCAGUACCUGGGCUCUUCUACUAUGAAGCCAUAGGGUUGUGACAUGUGCAGAAUGCAAUUUGGCCGUUGACAUAAUCUGGAUGGCAUCAUAGGUUGCUCAAAACAAGCAUAUACCAUUCAGUAUUAAUUUGAACCUGUCCAACUGUAAAGGACGGCACAAAGCACACUCAAGGAUGAGAAUUGCGUUGGCCGUCAAAAGAUUUACAGUAAUAUCUGUAUUGAACAAUAGGAUAGACUGGCAAAGAACUGAUAAAUUACAAGAAUUUACUGUAUGAUUAAUCUGACUCCAUAAAAUUACGAAAUUGACCUAAAACUAGAUGUACCGCAAAGCGGCACACAAUAUGACCGCUGCUCAGU